GCCCCUUACUACGGGACAGCCCGGCGAAAGUCGGAUUAAUACCGUAUGUGGUGUGAAGAGGGCAUCUGACUUACACUAAAGAUUCGUCGGUAGGGAUGGGGAUGCGUCCGCAUAAGCUAGUUGGCGGGGUAACAGCCCACCAAGGCGACGAUGCGUAGGGGUUCUGAGAGGAAGGUCCCCCACACUGGUACUGAGACACGGACCAGACUCCUACGGGAGGCAGCAGUGAGGAAUAUUGGUCAAUGGGCGGAAGCCUGAACCAGCCAAGUCGCGUGCGGGAGGCAGGCCCUACGGGUCGUAAACCGCUUUGGAUGGGGCAUAAUCAUGCGGACGAGUCGGCAUCUUGUAGAGUACCACAUCGAAUAAGCAUCGGCUAACUCCGUGCCAGCAGCCGCGGUAAUACGGAGGAUGCGAGCGUUAUCCGGAUUUAUUGGGUUUAAAGGGUGCGCAGGCGGCCUAUUCAAGUCAGCGGUCAAAUUGCGGUGGCUCAACGCUCGUAUCGCCGUUCGAAACUGAGUUGGCUAGAAGUGAGAGUGAGGAAGGCGGAAUGCGCGGUGUAGCGGUGAAAUGCAUAGAUAUUGCGCAGAACUCCCGAUUGCGAAGGCAGCAUACCAGUGCGCCAACUGGACGGCCUCAUAGCACGGAAAGCGCGGGUAUCGAACAGGAUUAGAUACCCUGGUAGUCCAGCGCCGGUAAACGAUGGAUGCUAGCUGUGCGCCCUGAUUAGUGCCAGCGCGGCCGAGCGAAAGCGUUAAGCGUCCCACCUGGGGAGUACGCCGGCAACGGUGAAACUCAAAGGAAUUGACGGGGGCCCGCACAAGCGGAGGAACAUGUGGUUUAAUUCGAUGAUACGCGAGGAACCUUACCCGGGCUCGAACUGCAUGCUGCAUGGGGCAUUUGAGAUGAUCCAUGCCCUUCGGGCGCUGCUGUGAAGGUGCUGCAUGGUUGUCGUCAGCUCGUGCCGUGAGGUGUCGGCUUAAGUGCCAUAACGAGCGCAACCCCCCUCCCCGGUUGCCAUCGGGUAAUGCCGGGCACUCCGAGGACACUGCCACCGCAAGGUGUGAGGAAGGUGGGGAUGACGUCAAAUCAGCACGGCCCUUACGUCCGGGGCUACACACGUGUUACAAUGGCAGGCACAGAGAGCUGGCGCGUCGCAAGACGCGUCGAAUCCUUAAAUCCUGCCUCAGUUCGGACUGGGGUCUGCAACCCGACCCCACGAAGCUGGAUUCGCUAGUAAUCGCGCAUCAGCCAUGGCGCGGUGAAUACGUUCCCGGGCUUGUACACACCGCCCGUCAAGCCAUGAAAGCCGGGGGCGCCUGAAGUCCGUGACCGCAAGG
rnacentral:rRNA from 1 species